AGGACUCUCCUCUCUUCUCUGAAUUGGAGCGUAUACAACAGAGAAUCCAGCUUAACCUUGCCAGCUUGCCAGACGUUGAGAAACGAAAGGUCCUGAAGUGGCAGAGUCUGUCUGACAGAGCUGGGGCAUUGGAGACCAGAGAUGGGGCUGAAGAGAUCAGAGCCCAGGCUGUGUUUAUCGGAGUCCAGGCUGAGUUGACGGACAACCUGAAUAAGUUGAUCCAAGCCAUGGCUGACAAAAUCCAAGCCCAGAAUGAGAAGACCAGAGCUGAGGCUGACUGGAUCCGAUCCCAGGCUGAGUUGAACCGAGCCCAGGCUGAGUGGACCAGAGCCCAGGCUGAGUUGACCCGAGCCCAGGCUGAGUGGACCCGAGCCCAGGCUGAGUGGACCCGAGUCCAGGCUGAGGUGACCCGAGCCAAAGCAAACAAUCAGAACCAUGAUGAGACUGGAGAGGCCUCACAACCCAGACCUAGGGAAAGUUUAUGGGACAAAAUCUGCAAUAUCUUUAAGAAGUUGAAAGAUAUUUGUACGACUCUCUCCAAGUUUUUUUAAGAAAUUCAAAGCACUGUAACCAUAUCUUUCCACUGUAUUACAAUUCCUGAGAAACUUACUCAUCUGAAAUUCACCCAAAUAUGUCUAGGUAACAGUGUAGAGUCUGCUCUUUCCAAUGCCUUAUACAGAAUGUUCUCCUACUGUCUACUGUCUGCUCUGACCCUCAGGCCCUCUGUGUCACAGUUCCCCUGUACGUCUGUCCUGUUGCUCUUGUCCUGUGCCCCUUAAUAAAAGUUGCAUUAGAUGAAGCAA